UUUUCAUAUGUAGUUCCUGCAUAGUUUUUUUUUUUUUUUUAUCUUCAACUACCUCAUGCUGUAAAAUGAUGUUUGGUUAACUUUAUAGAGGUAUAUAAGGAGAAAAAAUGCCACCAAUAGAAUGACAAUCACGAUUUGUUCAAGUAUCUUUGUAAAGUUAGUUUUCUUCAUUUAUCAAUGUAUAAAUCCAAGAAUUUUCAAAGAAUCAUACCACGAAAGUUGUCAUUUUGUUCAAAAAUCAUUUAUUUCAUUUUUGUUUUUAAGUACUUUUCAGUUUGGUCGGAGACCAAUUAUUCCAUUCGAAUUAUACCAGAAUGGGAACGGAUUUACUAGUCGAAGGAGGAAAGAUUUUUGUUAAACAUGCCAGCCAUUAAAAGCCGGCACCAUAUUUUACUUCAAAGUGCCACAAUUAGCCUUUAAUAAAAAUAAAUCAUUAGAUUGUGACUAGAUUCGAGGAAAACAAAGCGCAAAUCCUGCUGCUGCUCAUCAAACCGUCCACUGUUCUGUAAAUAAAGAAGUUGGGAUAUGGAAAAAAAAAAAAAAAAAAAAGAGUGUUUGUUAGAUUUAUCAUGGUUGCAG
rnacentral:lncRNA from 1 species